rnacentral:rRNA from 1 species
GAUGAACGCUGGCGGCGUGCCUAAUACAUGCAAGUCGAGCGAACAGACGAGGAGCUUGCUCCUCUGACGUUAGCGGCGGACGGGUGAGUAACACGUGGAUAACCUACCUAUAAGACUGGGAUAACUUCGGGAAACCGGAGCUAAUACCGGAUAAUAUAUUGAACCGCAUGGUUCAAUAGUGAAAGACGGUUUUGCUGUCACUUAUAGAUGGAUCCGCGCCGCAUUAGCUAGUUGGUAAGGUAACGGCUUACCAAGGCAACGAUGCGUAGCCGACCUGAGAGGGUGGUCGGCGACACUGGAACUGAGACACGGUCCAGACGCCUACGGGAGGCAGCAGUAGGGAAUCUUCCGCAAUGGGCGAAAGCCUGACGGAGCAACGCCGCGUGAGUGAUGAAGGUCUUCGGAGCGUAAAACUCUGUUAUUAGGGAAGAACAAAUGUGUAAGUAACUAUGCACGUCUUGACGGUACCUAAUCAGAAAGCCACGGCUAACUACGUG